UACGUAGGGUGCAAGCGUUAAUCGGAAUUACUGGGCGUAAAGCGUGCGCAGGCGGUUCGCUAAGACAGAUGUGAAAUCCCCGGGCUCAACCUGGGAACUGCGUUUGUGACUGGCGGGCUGGAGUGCGGGAGAGGGAGGUGGAAUUCCAAGUGUAGCAGUGAAAUGUGUAGAGAUGUGGAGGAACACCGAUGGCGAAGGCAGCCUCCUGGUCUAGCACUGACGCUCAUGCACGAAAGCGUGGGGAGCAAACGGG
rnacentral:rRNA from 1 species